rnacentral:lncRNA from 1 species
AGCGAUGGCGGCUGCGUCGGGGUCGGUUCUGCAGCGCUGUAUCGUGUCGCCGGCAGGGAGGCAUAGCGCCUCUCUGAUCUUCCUGCAUGGCUCAGGUGAUUCUGGACAAGGAUUAAGAAUGUGGAUCAAGCAGGUUUUAAAUCAAGAUUUAACAUUCCAACACAUAAAAAUUAUUUAUCCAACAGCUCCUCCCAGAUUUAAAAUAACCAAUGACUGCCCAGAACACCUUGAAUCAAUUGAUGUCAUGUGUCAAGUGCUUACUGAUUUGAUUGAUGAAGAAGUAAAAAGUGGCAUCAAGAAGAACAGGAUAUUAAUAGGAGGAUUCUCUAUGGGAGGAUGCAUGGCAAUACAUUUAGCAUAUAGAAAUCAUCAAGAUGUGGCAGGAGUAUUUGCUCUUUCUAGUUUUCUGAAUAAAGCAUCUGCUGUUUACCAGGCUCUUCAGAAGAGUAAUGGUGUACUUCCUGAAUUAUUUCAGUGUCAUGGUACUGCAGAUGAGUUAGUUCUUCAUUCUUGGGCAGAAGAGACAAACUCAAUGUUAAAAUCUCUAGGAGUGACCACGAAGUUUCAUAGUUUUCCAAAUGUUUACCAUGAGCUAAGCAAAACUGAGUUAGACAUAUUGAAGUUAUGGAUUCUUACAAAGCUGCCAGGAGAAAUGGAAAAACAAAAAUGAAUGAAUCAAGAGUGAUUUGUUAAUGUCAUUAGCUAUUGUUAGUGUUAGUGUAUUUUUUGUGUGGCCCAAGACAAUCUUCUUCCAGUGUGGCCCAGGGAAGCCAAAAAAUUGGACACACUUGAUGUAAACAUUUCAAGAAAAUUCAGACUAUAUGAUCACUCAAGACAGCCGAUUCACCAGCCUUCUGAAGGGAAGACUAAGCAUAUUCCUAUAUUGAAGAAGGAAAGAUAUCCAUGAUGGUGAUGCCACUAAAUAGAAGCAUCUUGGAUCUUACUAUUUGGAGUAGAACCACACAAGGAGAAGCCAUCCAACCUACAUAAGACUAUGACGU